UUGUUCGGAUUCAUUGGGGCGUAAAGGGUGCGUGGGCCGGCGCGGUAAGUCGGGUUUUGAAAUUUCGGAGCUUAACUGGGAAACUGCAUUCGAUACUGCCGUGCCUGAGGACUGGAGAGGAGACUGGAAUUUACGGUGUAGCAGUGAAAUGCGUAGAGAUCGUAAGGAAGACCAGUGGCGAAGGCGGGUCUCUGGACAGUUCCUGACGCUGAGGCACGAAGGCCAGGGGAGCAAACGGGAUUAGAUACCCCGGUAGUCCUGGCAGUAAACGGUGCACGUUUGUGUGGGAGGAUUCGACCCCUUCUGCGCCGGAGCUAACGCGUUAAACGUGCCGCCUGGGGAGUACGGUCGCAAGAUUAAAACUCAAAGAAAUUGACGGGGGCCCGCACAAGCGGUGGAGUAUGUGGCUUAAUUCGAUGCAACGCGAAGAACCUUACCUGGCCUUGACAUGCAUCUCUUAGCUGGUGAAAGCCAGUGAGUCCCGAAAGGGACAAUUUGCACAGGUGCUGCAUGGCUGUCGUCAGCUCGUGUCGUGAGAUGUUGGGUUAAGUCCCGCAACGAGCGCAACCCCUGUGAACUGUUGCCACCAAUCCGCGAGGAUUGAGCACUCUGUUCAGACUGCCCUGUGAAACGGGGAGGAAGGUGGGGACGACGUCAGGUCAGUAUGGCCCUUACGGCCAGGGCUGCACACGUACUACAAUGCCCAGUACAGAACGAUCCAAGACCGCGAGGUGGAGGAAAUCCAGUAAAACUGGGCCCAGUUCGGAUUGGAGUCUGCAACUCGACUC
rnacentral:rRNA from 1 species